UACGUAGGUGGCAAGCGUUAUCCGGAAUUAUUGGGCGUAAAGCGCACGUAGGCGGCUUUGCAAGUCGGAUGUGAAAUCCCUCGGCUUAACCAAGGAAGUGCAUCCGAAACUGCAGAGCUUGAGUACUUAAGAGGAUCGCGGAAUUCCCGGUGUAGAGGUGAAAUUCGUAGAUAUCGGGAGGAACACCAGUGGCGAAGGCGGCGAUCUGGGAAGAUACUGACGCUGAGGUGCGAAAGCGUGGGGAGCAAACAGG
rnacentral:rRNA from 1 species